rnacentral:misc_RNA from 1 species
CUGCUAACCUAACUGUUUGCCGUGCACUGGUCUCCACUCACACAGAAUAACAGUAAAAGGGAAAAAGGGCGUUAUCAAGCAGGAACGGCGGGCCGCUCCAUGGUACAGGAAAAGGUGUGUGGGGAAGUGUCACUGGUGGUGGUCUCUACGAAGCACUAGUUUCGACGAAGGGGGGAGGGCAGACGGAAAAAAAGUGUGGCACACAAAGAAAAGGUGGCCUUGGCUCUCUCUGGGAACGGAAAGCGUGUACUUCGUGGAGUUGCGCAGAAGUCUAGUGUGACAAGCUCCACCCGACAGCACGCGGCACAUUCUCUCACUGUGGGUUUUGCUGCUGUGAGUUGCUCUCCCUCACUACCUCUGUCCAACGCUUACUUGACACUCUUGUCCUGUCAAGAGGAGGAGCGCAGAACGGCGUCGGAAAGGAUGAGCGUGUCGGUCCCUCCUGGGUUUGAGGACGAUGACGACCUGGCCACUGUCGACCCUGCGCUACUUGCGGAGAUGGAGGAGGAGGAGCAGAAGGAGUCGAGGAAGCAGCAGAUCCUUACAUGGCAGCGCAUGAACACGGAGCGAUACGGCUUCCGCGCGGCGUACCGGGAGGCAGUGGGGGAGAAAGACCUGAUGCCGCCAGAGUUCAUCCGCAAGGUGGUGAAGGACAAUGGUGACCUCGGCGGAAAGCGCUUCAAAUCGGAGCGCAAGCUGUGCGUGGGUAUGCUGCCCUACAUUCCACUGGCUCUGCUCAAGCUCCUAGAAAACAUGCCAAUGCCCUGGGAGGAGGCGCGUUACGUGACCGUAGUGUACCACGUCGGAGGCGUGCUCACCAUCGUGGACGACACCCCCACAGUGGCGGAGCCGCUGUACGUGUCACAGUGGGGUUCGAUGUGGACGAAGAUGCGCGCCAACAAGGUAGAGCUGCUUCAAGAAGGUGGCGGCUUCAGGCGCGCGGUGCACAAGGGAGACGAAAACGAGCCGCCGCUGGACUUUGCCGACUACCUCAUGGACCGCGUGCCGCCUCCACCGGUGCUCGACGAUCUCGAUGAGGAGGACAACGCCAGCAUUGUGGGCUGGUUCUAUGACCCUUUUCCGCGCCUGGUGGCUCCCAACCAGAUUCGCGGCCCUCGGCGGCCCAAUGGGUACUACUUCAACCUUGAUGUGAUGGAGGCGCUAUACCGCAACGCGUCACCCAUUCUGCCGACGCUUGACGACCGCAACUACUUUUACCUGUGGGACCUCAAGUCCUUCUACGCUGCCAAAGCGAUGCACCUGUCCAUUCCACGCGGCCCGAAGUUCGAGGCCCCACCUGCCAUUCGCGUGAAGCAGGACGAGGACGACGACUGGACGGAGUUCAACGACCUGCGUCGCAUCAUCCACCGCGACAAUCCGCGCAAGCCGCGCUUCACGAUGCUGACGGAGCGACAGAUUGCCUUCCCUUUUCUGUAUGGCUCAGUGGUGGACGGGGUCGAACUGGCCCCGUAUCACUACCCAGCCACCGUGCGCGUCGAGAACGACGACCCCGAGCUACCGUGCUUUACUUUCCACCCAUCGCUGAACGCAAUCAAAGCAGUGGAGAAGAAUUACACAGACGUGCCGCGCGCGCAGGCCGCGUUGUGCUCCUCUACCUGGCAUCGCGCGGGCGGCCAGCAUGUUGAGACCGCCGCGGACGUGCCGUUAGAGCUGCCGGACGACUUUGAGCCGUUUCUGUCAUCGCUCCCGCUGGAGCAGCCCAACACGAAGACGGGCCUGUCGCUGCUUUUUGCUCCGGCGCCCUACAACUCUUUUGAGGGAGGCAUGAAGCGGCGCAUCGAUGUGCCGCUGUGCGACAAGUGGUACCAGGACCCACCGGACCUGCUCACGACGGACGACCGAGACAAGAUUCUGCGCAGCUACACCCAGCUACUCAAGCACCACGUGAAGCGCUCCCUGCAGCACACCGUGCGCCAACGGAGCAGUGCCGCGACCGCCGCCACAGCAGCUGAAGGGGCGGGGACGAUGGACAUGAGCGCGAUGCAGGAGAAGCGCCGGCUGGAGAAAAUGGCAGGGAUGCGGUACUUUUCCAAGACGCGUAUGGAGUGGCUAGAAGCGGGGCUUCAGGUGAUGCGGCAGGGCCACAACAUGCUUGUUCAGCUCAUUAACAUGAAGUGCCUGCCGUAUGUGCAUAUCGACUACAACUUCGAGGCGAAGCCGACCCGCACGCUGACGACGAAGGAGAUCAAGAAGAGCCGGCUCGGCCCCGCGUUUCACAUGAUCCGUGAGCUUCUAGGCUUCAUGAAGCGGCUCAUCGACAUGCAUGUGAUGUAUCGGUUAGGGUCGACUGACGCGCUGCAGUUGGCGGAUGCUACCCAGUACCUCUUCUCUCACGUCGGCGUCCUGACGGGGGUGUACCGCUACAAGUUGCGGGCUAUGCGGCAGAUCAAGAGGAGUCGUGACCUUAAGCACAUGCUGUACAGCAAGUUCAACGUUGGCGGCGUGCCAAGUGGGCCUGGAAACGGUUUUUGGGGCCCGGCGUGGCGUGUGUGGGUAUUCUUUAUGCGCGGCAUGACACCGCUUCUUCAGCGCUAUCUGAGCAAUCUGACCGACCGCGUGCUGCACGGUCGUUUGCAGAAAGGCAAGAUGUCGGGCAAGAAAAUCACGCGUCAGCGGGUCGAGCCGGACAAGGACGUGAACAUCAAGGAGGCGUUCCGCCGUGAGCUGCGAGAGAUGCUGCCGGACAACGUGAAGGCUUCGGUCAUUGUGACGAUGGACCAGCACAUGAACGAGGCGUUCCGGCACUGGCGCGCCGGCCUGCCGUGGAGCGUGCCUGGGCUUGCGAAGCCGCUGACAGACCUCGUCGGUAAGUACGUGAAGCUUCGCUCUGAGGAGUACAUCCGCACGACGCAGCUGCAGCGGCGCCGCAUUGCGGAGGGGGAUACUGUGGACAAGCAGGCCUUCAUGAAAAACCUAGGGCGCUUGACGCGACUGAAGCUCAUGGAUGAGCAGCGCCGCCAGCGUCGAUACAUGACAGGGGAGGACGCCGCCGCGAUCAUGGCGCCCGCUGAGGCGACGGAGAUUUAUCGCAUGAUGGCGAACUGGCUCAACGACCGCGGAUUCAAGAAGAUAUCCUUCCCAGACCCGUCCAAGACGGCAGAGCUGUCGCUGCUGCAGCUUUCCCUCAAUCGACUGCGUGACCAGCACAACAUCGCGAACCGCCUCACGGCGAACCAGCGUGAGGAGCAGGCCCGCAUCGAGGAGUCCUUUAACGCGCCUCACGAGGCCCUGUCCCGCAUCGUAGACGCCCUUGCACACCAGCGCCGCUUCAAAAACGUCGAGGUGGAGUACAUGGACAACUUUUCACACCUGUACCCGCUCUACACUGUCGUGCCGCAGGAGAAGAUGAUUGACUCCUUCCUCGAUCAGUACCUCUGGUACAAGGCGAUGAAUGUGCAACGUCUCUUCCCCAAUUGGGUGAAACCGUCUGAUGUGGAGCCGUUGCCACAGCUGGUGUACAAGUGGUGUGAGGGCAUCAACAACAUCCCCGAUAUAUGGGACGUAUCGCACGACGAGUCUGUGGUGCUGUUGCACAGCAACCUGGAGGAUGCAUUCUACGACAACGUGGACUGGAACUUCUUCCGUCCGAUGCUGGAGCUGAUCAUGGAUAAGUCGCUCGUCGACUACAUUGUGAGCCGGCACGAUGUCGUGGUGGAGUUCAAGGACAUGAGCUACCAUCACUACAAGGGGCUUAUCCGCGGCUUCAUGUUUUCGUCAUUCCUGGCGCAGUACUGGGGGCUCGUGAUGGAUGUGCUGCUGCUCGGCACUCAGCGAAGCAAGGAGAUUGCCGGUACGGCGUUAAAGCCGAACCCAUUCAUGUCUUUCUUCCGAGACCCAUACCUCGCCGCGUCGCAUCCGAUUCGCGCGUACUGCAGGUACAAGAACGAGGUCUACAUCGUGGUGCGCUACACCAAGACGGAGGCGGAUGAGGUGCGGCGCCGCUACCUGGAGGAGACCAAGUCGGAUCCGGAGAUGCGUGCGAUUAACGCAUCCGUCUAUGGAUUCAAGAACGCGAAGGAGUGGCCACGCGACGCACGGAUGCGCCUUUUCCUGUCCGACGUAAACUUGGCGCGCGCGGUGCUAUGGGAGUUCCGCAGCCGCCUGCCGCCGUCGAUGGCGACCAUCAACGACGCAAACAGCUUCGUCAGCGUUUACUCCAAGGACAACCCCAACCUGCUCUUCGAAAUGGCAGGCUUCUCCGUGCGGCUGCUGCCGGUGGUGCGGACCGAGGCGGACAUUCUCGAGAGCGAGUCUAUGUGGAGUCUGCGCAAUCACACAACCAAGGACAUCUCCUGCCGAGCCUUCCUGCAAGUGACGAAGGAGCAUAUCAACAUGAUCCGCAACAAGGCGCGCCGCACUGUAAUGAUGGUCGGCAGCUCCACCUUUCACAGCAUCGCGGCCAAGUGGAACGCGCUGAUUACGGAGAUUGUGCCAUACUAUCGCGAGGCGAUACUCGGGACGGAGGAGCUGCAGGCGAUCCUGGCGCGCGCGGAGCACCGCAUGCAGGCACGUGUGAUGAUGGCGCUGAACUCGCGCGCCAAGUCGCGCUUCCCACCGGCGAUGUUCUACGCCCCGUCCGAUCUUGGCGGCCUCGGCAUGCUCUCGGUCGGACACUCGCUGAUCCCUGCGAAGGACACCAUCUACUCGAAGACGACCAGCACGGGCGUCCAGUUCUUCUACGCCGGCCUCACUAACGAGGAGGGCAUCCCGAUCCCCAACGUGCUGCAGUAUUACACGCCGUGGGAAACGGAGAUCAAGGAGAGCGAGAAGGCAUGGCUGGAGUUCCGCACCCGCGAGCGUGAGGCCAAGGCGCGUGGGGGCCGCGUGUCGCUGGACGACAUCGAGGACAUCAUCGACAAGGGCAUCCCGCGCAUCCGCGUGCGCUUCUCGCGACACGCGCCGCUCUUCCACUUCGACACCGGCUUCCGGGCCCGCAUGGAGUUCCAGCGAUACCUGGCCGGCAAGUACCUGAAGAACUG